rnacentral:rRNA from 1 species
ACGUAGGGGGCAAGCGUUGUCCGGAUUUACUGGGUGUAAAGGGUGCUCAGGCGGGUUUGUAAGUCAGUGGUGAAAUCCCGGGGCUUAACUCCGGAACUGCCAUAGAAACUGCAAGCCUAGAGUACGGAAGAGGUUGAUGGAAUAUCUGGUGUAGCAGUGAAAUGCUGAUAUACCAGGGAGAACACCAAUGGCGAAGGCGGUCAAAUAGUACUUUACCGCCGGUGAAGCACGAAAGUGGGGGGAGCUAACAG